rnacentral:rRNA from 1 species
GUCAGCGACCAUACCACGUAGCAGAACCAGUUCUCGACCGAUCACCGAACUUAAGCUACGUUGUGUACGGUUUUAACUUGCAUGGGUGACCGGCUAAGAAUACCGGGUGUUGCUGACA